GAUGAACGCUGGCGGAGUGCCUAAUACAUGCAAGUCGAGCGAACGGACGAGAAGCUUGCUUCUCUGAUGUUAGCGGCGGACGGGUGAGUAACACGUGGAUAACCUACCUAUAAGACUGGGAUAACUUCGGGAAACCGGAGCUAAUACCGGAUAAUAUUUUGAACCGCAUGGUUCAAAAGUGAAAGACGGUCUUGCUGUCACUUAUAGAUGGAUCCGCGCUGCAUUAGCUAGUUGGUAAGGUAACGGCUUACCAAGGCACCGAUGCAUAGCCGACCUGAGAGGGUGAUCGGCCACACUGGAACUGAGACACGGUCCAGACUCCUACGGGAGGCAGCAGUAGGGAAUCUUCCGCAAUGGGCGAAAGCCUGACGGAGCAACGCCGCGUGAGUGAUGAAGGUCUUCGGAUCGUAAAACUCUGUUAUUAGGGAAGAACAUAUGUGUAAGUAACUGUGCACAUCUUGACGGUACCUAAUCAGAAAGCCACGGCUAACUACGUGCCAGCAGCCGCGGUAAUACGUAGGUGGCAAGCGUUAUCCGGAAUUAUUGGGCGUAAAGCGCGCGUAGGCGGUUUUUUAAGUCUGAUGUGAAAGCCCACGGCUCAACCGUGGAGGGUCAUUGGAAACUGGAAAACUUGAGUGCAGAAGAGGAAAGUGGAAUUCCAUGUGUAGCGGUGAAAUGCGCAGAGAUAUGGAGGAACACCAGUGGCGAAGGCGACUUUCUGGUCUGUAACUGACGCUGAUGUGCGAAAGCGUGGGGAUCAAACAGGAUUAGAUACCCUGGUAGUCCACGCCGUAAACGAUGAGUGCUAAGUGUUAGGGGGUUUCCGCCCCUUAGUGCUGCAGCUAACGCAUUAAGCACUCCGCCUGGGGAGUACGACCGCAAGGUUGAAACUCAAAGGAAUUGACGGGGACCCGCACAAGCGGUGGAGCAUGUGGUUUAAUUCGAAGCAACGCGAAGAACCUUACCAAAUCUUGACAUCCUUUGACAACUCUAGAGAUAGAGCUUUCCCCUUCGGGGGACAAAGUGACAGGUGGUGCAUGGUUGUCGUCAGCUCGUGUCGUGAGAUGUUGGGUUAAGUCCCGCAACGAGCGCAACCCUUAAGCUUAGUUGCCAUCAUUAAGUUGGGCACUCUAAGUUGACUGCCGGUGACAAGCCGGAGGAAGGUGGGGAUGACGUCAAAUCAUCAUGCCCCUUAUGAUUUGGGCUACACACGUGCUACAAUGGACAAUACAAAGGGCAGCGAAACCGCGAGGUCAAGCAAAUCCCAUAAAGUUGUUCUCAGUUCGGAUUGUAGUCUGCAACUCGACUACAUGAAGCUGGAAUCGCUAGUAAUCGUAGAUCAGCAUGCUACGGUGAAUACGUUCCCGGGUCU
rnacentral:rRNA from 1 species